CGGGUGAGUAACACGUGGGUAACCUGCCCGGAAGUGGGGAAUACCUCGGGGAAACUCGAGCUAAUACCGCAUGACAUCUUCGGGACGAAAGUCCUGGUGAUCAAAGCGGGGCCGCAAGGUCUCGCGCUACCGGAUGGGCCCGCGCCCGAUUAGCUAGUUGGUGAGGUAACGGCUCACCAAGGCUUCGAUCGGUAACCGGCCUGAGAGGGCGAUCGGUCACACCGGAACUGAGACACGGUCCGGACUCCUACGGGAGGCAGCAGUGGGGAAUCUUGCGCAAUGGGCGAAAGCCUGACGCAGCAACGCCGCGUGGAGGAUGAAGGCCCUUGGGUUGUAACUCCUGUCGGCUCGGACGACUCGGAAAAAAAUAAUCCGGGGGUUGUCAACCCCAUUUUGGGGGGCCCCCCCAAAGGAGCCCCCGGUAUUUUUGUUGCCGCGCCGGGUAUUACAGAGGGGGCCCCCUUUUUUGAAUUUUUGGGGGUAAAGGGGCGUAACCGGACUGUUUUUCCCGGAAACCCCCCUCUCUAAGGAGAGCUGGGAAAACACCACAGCCUGAUUCGGGGAGAGGGGGUAUAUUCUCAGUGUAGCGGUAAGUGCUAUAUUGUGGGAAUC
rnacentral:rRNA from 1 species